rfam:Clostridium sp. CAG:678 genomic scaffold, scf181
CGGGGUGUAGCGCAGGUGGUAGCGCACCAGACUGGGGGUCUGGGGGUCGCAAGUUCAAGUCUUGUCACUCCGA